rnacentral:rRNA from 1 species
UACCAGCUCUCCGAGUGGUAGGGAUGAUUAUUGGGCUUAAAGCGUCCGUAGCCAGCUCUUCAAGUCUUUCGUUAAAUCCAACGAUUCAAUCGUUGGGCUGCGGGAGAUACUGUUGAGCUAGGAGGCGGGAGAAGUCGCCGGUAUUUCCGGGGUAGGAGUGAAAUCCUAUAAUCCCGGGAGGACCACCAGUGGCGAAGGCGGUCGACUAGAACGCGCUCGACGGUGAGGGACGAAAGCUGGGGGAGCGAACCGGAUUAGAUACCCGGGUAGUCCCAGCUGUAAACGAUGCGGGCUAGGUGUUAGGGUGGCUACGAGCCACUCUAGUGCCGCAGGGAAACUGUUAAGCCCGCCGCCUGGGGAGUACGGCCGCAAGGCUGAAACUUAAAGGAAUUGGCGGGGGAGCACCACAAGGGGUGAAGCUUGCGGUUUAAUUGGAGUCAACACCGGAAACCUUACCGGGAGCGACAGCAGAAUGAAAGCCAGAUUGAAGGUCUUGCCGGACGAGCUGAGAGGAGGUGCAUGGCCGUCGCCAGUUCGUGCCGUGAGGUGUCCUGUUAAGUCAGGCAACGAUCGAGACCCACGCCCUCUGUUGCCACUGAAGAAGCUUUCUGAAGGGCACACUGGGGGUACUGCCGACGAUAAGUCGGAGGAAGGAGUGGGCAACGGCAGGUCAGUAUGCCCCGAAUCUCCCGGGCCACACGCGAGCUGCAAUGGCAGGGACAAUGGGCUCCGACCUCGAAAGGGGAAGGCAAUCCCGAAACCCUGCCUCAGUUGGGAUCGAGGGCUGCAACCCGCCCUCGUGAACAUGGAAUCCCUAGUAAUCGCGCGUCACUAUCGCGCGGUGAAUACGUCCCUGCUCCU